rnacentral:rRNA from 1 species
GACAGAGGGUGCAAACGUUGUUCGGAUUUACUGGGCGUAAAGCGCGUGUAGGCGGCUUCGCAAGUUGGAUGUGAAGGCCCACGGCUCAACCGUGGAAGCGCAUCCAAAACUGCGUCGCUGGAGUCUCGGAGAGGAAGGUGGAAUGCUUGGUGUAGAGGUGAAAUUCGUAGAUAUAGGAAGGAACACCAGUGGCGAAGGCGACCACCUGGACUGAUACUGACACUGAGGUGCGAAAGCGUGGGGAGCAAACAGG